AGUGAACGCUGGCGGUAGGCCUAACACAUGCAAGUCGAACGGCAGCACAGUAAGAGCUUGCUCUUACGGGUGGCGAGUGGCGGACGGGUGAGGAAUACAUCGGCAUCUACUUUUUCGUGGGGGAUAACGUAGGGAAACUUACGCUAAUACCGCAUACGACCUACGGGUGAAAGCAGGAGAUCUUCGGACCUUGCGCGAUUGAAUGAGCCGAUGUCGGAUUAGCGAGUUGGCGGGGUAAAGGCCCACCAAGGCGACGAUCCGUAGCUGGUCUGAGAGGAUGAUCAGCGACACUGGAACUGAGACACGGUCCAGACUCCUACGGGAGGCAGCAGUGGGGAAUAUUGGACAAUGGGCGCAAGCCUGAUCCAGCCAUACCGCGUGGGUGAAGAAGGCCUUCGGGUUGUAAAGCCCUUUUGUUGGGAAAGAAAAGCAGCAGGUUAAUACCCCGCUGUUCUGACGGUACCCAAAGAAUAAGCACCGGCUAACUUCGUG
rnacentral:rRNA from 1 species